rnacentral:rRNA from 1 species
GAUGAACGCUGGCGGCGUGCCUAAUACAUGCAAGUCGAGCGAACAGACGAGGAGCUUGCUCCUCUGACGUUAGCGGCGGACGGGUGAGUAACACGUGGAUAACCUACCUAUAAGACUGGGAUAACUUCGGGAAACCGGAGCUAAUACCGGAUAAUAUAUUGAACCGCAUGGUUCAAUAGUGAAAGACGGUUUUGCUGUCACUUAUAGAUGGAUCCGCGCCGCAUUAGCUAGUUGGUAAGGUAACAGCUUACCAAGGCAACGAUGCGUAGCCGACCUGAGAGGGUGAUCGGCCACACUGGAACUGAGCCACGGUCCAGACUCCUACGGGAGGCAGCAGUAGGGAAUCUUCCGCAAUGGGCGAAAGCCUGACGGAGCAACGCCGCGUGAGUGAUGAAGGUCUUCGGAUCGUAAAACUCUGUUAUUAGGGAAGAACAAAUGUGUAAGUAACUAUGCACGUCUUGACGGUACCUAAUCAGAAAGCCACGGCUAACUACGUG